rnacentral:rRNA from 1 species
GACGAACGCUGGCGGCGUGCCUAAUACAUGCAAGUAGAACGCUGAAGGAGGAGCUUGCUUCUCUGGAUGAGUUGCGAACGGGUGAGUAACGCGUAGGUAACCUGCCUGGUAGCGGGGGAUAACUAUUGGAAACGAUAGCUAAUACCGCAUAACAGUAGAUAUCGCAUGAUAUCUACUUGAAAGGUGCAAUUGCAUCACUACCAGAUGGACCUGCGUUGUAUUAGCUAGUUGGUGAGGUAACGGCUCACCAAGGCGACGAUACAUAGCCGACCUGAGAGGGUGAUCGGCCACACUGGGACUGAGACACGGCCCAGACUCCUACGGGAGGCAGCAGUAGGGAAUCUUCGGCAAUGGACGGAAGUCUGAACGAGCAACGCCGCGUGAGUGAAGAAGGUUUUCGGAUCGUAAAGCUCUGUUGUAAGAGAAGAACGAGUGUGAGAGUGGAAAGUUCACUCUGUGACGGUAUCUUAACAGAAAGGGACGGCUAACUACGUG